rnacentral:rRNA from 1 species
UACUGUUAAACUUGAGUUACGGAGAGGAAGACGGAAUUCCCGGUGUAGGGGUGAAAUCUAUAGAUAUCGGGAAGAACACCAGUAGCGAAGGCGGUCUUCUGGACGUUAACUGACGCUAAUGUACGAAAGGUAGGGUAGCAAACAGGAUUAGAGACCCUGGUAGUCCUACCUGUAAACGUUGUAUACUAGGUGGUGGUUGUAUUGAUCCGAUCACUGCCGCAGCAAACGCAUUAAGUAUACCGCCUGGGGAGUAUGCCGGCAACGGUGAAACUCAAAGGAAUUGACGGGGGCCCGCACAAGCAGUGGAGCAUGUUGUUUAAUUCGAUGAUACGCGAGAAACCUUACCAGGUCUUGACAUAUACUCGAAUACCGUAGAGAUACGGUAGUUCUUCGGAACGGGUAUACAGGUGUUGCAUGGUUGUCGUCAGCUCGUGCCGUGAGGUGUUGGGUUAAGUCCCGCAACGAGCGCAACCCCUAUCCUUUGUUGCUAACAAUUCGGUUGAGCACUCUAAGGAGACUGCCGGUGACAAACCGGAGGAAGGUGGGGACGACGUCAAAUCAUCACGGCCCUUACGACCUGGGCUACAAACGUGCUACAAUGGUCGGUACAAAGAGUUGCGAUACAGUGAUGUUGAGCUAAUCUCAAAAAGCCGUCCUCAGUUCGGAUUGGAGUCUGAAACCCGACUCCAUGAAGCUGGAAUUGCUAGUAAUCGCACAUCAUCAUGGUGCGGUGAAUAUGUUCCCGGGCCUUGUACACACCGCCCGUCACAUCACCCGAAUUGAUUAUACCCGAAGUAUCCGUGCUAACCCUUGUGGAGGCAGGGUCCUAAGGUAUGGUUGGUAAGGGGGAUGAAGUCGUAACAAGGUAACCAAGGGCGAA